rnacentral:rRNA from 1 species
UAAGGAAUAUUGGUCAAUGGACGCAAGUCUGAACCAGCCAUGCCGCGUGGAGGAUGAAGGUCCUCUGGAUUGUAAACUUCUUUUAUCUGGGACGAAACACUUCUUUUCUAAGAGGCCUGACGGUACCAGAUGAAUAAGCACCGGCUAACUCCGUGCCAGCAGCCGCGGUAAUACGGAGGGUGCAAGCGUUAUCCGGAUUCACUGGGUUUAAAGGGUGCGUAGGUGGGUAUGUAAGUCAGUGGUGAAAUCCCCGAGCUUAACUUGGGAACUGCCAUUGAUUCUAUAUAUCUUGAAUACCUUAUAGGUAAGCGGAAUAUGUCAUGUAGCGGUGAAAUGCUUAGAUAUGACAUGGAACACCAAUUGCGAAGGCAGCUUACUAUGCGGUGAUUGACACUGAGGCACGAAAGCGUGGGUAGCAAAC